GACGAACGCUGGCGGCGUGCCUAAUACAUGCAAGUUGAGCGAUGAAGAUUGGUGCUUGCCCCAAUUUGAAGAGCAGCGAACGGGUGAGUAACGCGUGGGGAAUCUGCCUUUGAGCGGGGGACAACAUUUGGAAACGAAUGCUAAUACCGCAUAACAACUUUAAACAUAAGUUUUAAGUUUGAAAGAUGCAAUUGCAUCACUCAAAGAUGAUCCCGCGUUGUAUUAGCUAGUUGGUGAGGUAAAGGCUCACCAAGGCGAUGAUACAUAGCCGACCUGAGAGGGUGAUCGGCCACAUUGGGACUGAGACACGGCCCAAACUCCUACGGGAGGCAGCAGUAGGGAAUCUUCGGCAAUGGACGAAAGUCUGACCGAGCAACGCCGCGUGAGUGAAGAAGGGUUUCGGAUCGUAAAACUCUGUUGGUAGAGAAGAACGUUGGUGAGAGUGGAAAGCUCAUCAAGUGACGGUAACUACCCAGAAAGGGACGGCUAACCACGUG
rnacentral:rRNA from 1 species